GACAGAGGGUGCAAACGUUUGUUCGGAAUUACUGGGCGUAAAGCGCGUGUAGGCUGCUUGGAAAGUCGGAUGUGAAAGCCCUGGGCUCAACCUAGGAAGAGCAUUCGAAAACUUCCAAAGCUUGAGUUUUCGGAGAGGAAAAGGCGGAAUUCUCGGUGUAGAGGUGAAAUUUUCGUAGAUAUCGAGAGGAAACAUCGGUGGCGAAGGGCGGGCCCUUCUGGGACGAUGACUGACGCUGAGACGCG
rnacentral:rRNA from 1 species